rfam:Parcubacteria group bacterium CG2_30_36_21 cg2_3.0_scaffold_9894_c, whole genome shotgun sequence.
GCGAGAGUAGCACAGUGGUAGUGCAACGGCCUUCCAAGCCGUGUACGCGGGUUCGAUCCCCGUCUCUCGCU